rnacentral:rRNA from 1 species
UACGUAGGAGACAACCGUUAUCCGGAGUUACUGGGCGUAAAGGGCGUGUAGGUGGUUGCGUAAGUCUGGCGUGAAAUAUCUCGGCUUAACCGAGGCAGGUCGUCGGAUACUGCGUAACUGGAGGACGGUAGAGGCGAGUGGAAUUCCUGGUGUAGCGGUGAAAUGCGCAGAUAUCAGGAGGAACACCAAUGGCGAAGGCAGCUCGCUGGGACGGUACUGACACUGAGACGCGAAAGCGUGGGGAGCAAACAGG